rnacentral:rRNA from 2 species
ACUGAGACACGGCCCAGACUCCUACGGGAGGCAGCAGUGGGGAAUAUUGCACAAUGGGCGAAAGCCUGAUGCAGCGACGCCGCGUGAGGGAUGACGGCCUUCGGGUUGUAAACCUCUUUCAGCAGGGAAGAAGCGAAAGUGACGGUACCUGCAGAAGAAGCGCCGGCUAACUACGUGCCAGCAGCCGCGGUAAUACGUAGGGCGCGAGCGUUGUCCGGAAUUAUUGGGCGUAAAGAGCUCGUAGGCGGUCUGUCGCGUCGGAUGUGAAAGCCCGGGGCUUAACCCCGGGUCUGCAUUCGAUACGGGCAGACUAGAGUGUGGUAGGGGAGAUCGGAAUUCCUGGUGUAGCGGUGAAAUGCGCAGAUAUCAGGAGGAACACCGGUGGCGAAGGCGGAUCUCUGGGCCAUUACUGACGCUGAGGAGCGAAAGCGUGGGGAGCGAACAGGAUUAGAUACCCUGGUAGUCCACGCCGUAAACGGUGGGAACUAGGUGUUGGCGACAUUCCACGUCGUCGGUGCCGCAGCUAACGCAUUAAGUUCCCCGCCUGGGGAGUACGGCCGCAAGGCUAAAACUCAAAGGAAUUGACGGGGGCCCGCACAAGCAGCGGAGCAUGUGGCUUAAUUCGACGCAACGCGAAGAACCUUACCAAGGCUUGACAUACACCGGAAACGGCCAGAGAUGGUCGCCCCCUUGUGGUCGGUGUACAGGUGGUGCAUGGCUGUCGUCAGCUCGUGUCGUGAGAUGUUGGGUUAAGUCCCGCAACGAGCGCAACCCUUGUUCUGUGUUGCCAGCAUGCCCUUCGGGGUGAUGGGGACUCACAGGAGACUGCCGGGGUCAACUCGGAGGAAGGUGGGGACGACGUCAAGUCAUCAUGCCCCUUAUGUCUUGGGCUGCACACGUGCUACAAUGGCAGGUACAAUGAGCUGCGAAGCCGCGAGGCGGAGCGAAUCUCAAAAAGCCUGUCUCAGUUCGGAUUGGGGUCUGCAACUCGACCCCAUGAAGUCGGAGUUGCUAGUAAUCGCAGAUCAGCAUUGCUGCGGUGAAUACGUUCCCGGGCCUUGUACACACCGCCCGUCACGUCACGAAAGUCGGUAACACCCG